ensembl:lncRNA
CAAAAUACCCCUCCAAGCAACCAACCAACCAAAUAAUCCCACAAGUCUUCGAAAGGAGGAAAAAAUCAGGCCCAGUAUGCCUGGUUACACUCAUUGUCAGAAAGAGGUAAUUUUUGUGGAUGGCUGGAGGUGACCUAGAUAUGUAUAUCCCAGUUUCACAUGAAUUCCUGCUGUAGCUCUUGGUAUGUCUGCUUCUUCCACACAAGAUCCUGGCUCCAAGUGUGCAAUCCAUAACAGCAUAGUGCUGGGAUAGGUGCUAUAAGUGUAAGUGCUCACAUCACGAGGGUAGCACCAAUGUUAAUAUGACUGGUGCUAAAGGAUGGGGUGAUGCUGAGUAAUCUCUGCUUUCUAACUCAGAUUUUAUCCAUCCACUCAGUAAACAACACCCUGCAUGCUAAUGUUGUAGAAUCACUGCAGCACUGCCAGAAAUGAUGAAAACUAAGAGGUUCAUUGGCACUGCUUCUCCCAACUUCUCCAUUUCAGCUCCAAAUGAGUGGGUUUUUUUUCCCAAUGACACAGACCAGAGAUGAUCCGUCUCUUAAGCAGAAAAAUAUCCUUCUCUCCUGCAUGAGGCUAGCCUUAAUGGAAUCAAUUAAAAUGAAGGAGGGAAAAAGGGAAAUUAAAUCAUGGGGAUUGUGCAAUAUCUUUGGAAGAGGCAGAAUCACGUUUUAUGCUGGUGGCACAAGCACUGUGCACGGUUAGCGUGGUUUGAGCUCGAAAGUGGCAGACCCGUCUUGCCAGCUCCUUUGAAUAUUUCUGUCCUGCUGCUGUUAUGUAAGAGCUGCUGUCCCAGUUUGCCUGUGCAGCUCUCUGCCUUAUGCGUGAUGAUGCUCUGGAGCCUACGCCAAAGGUGUUGAGGUUGUUUACCAUUGCUUUUGCCCGGCCCUAUGGGGGCCAGCGUUGGACUGGAGGUGUCUGACUGCCCCAGGGAUGCUCUGCCACGGCUGAGGGUUGAACGCUAAAAGGAAGCUGUCCAAGACCCUUGUCUCACUGAGCUCCACAGCUUGCAGGGAGAAUUCUGUUAGGGGAAGUGGACUCGCUCCAAAGAGAUCAUGGCUUCGUCCCGACUAGUGGCAAGAUCUAGAGACAUUGCCAAUGUCAUGCAACGGCUUCAAGGUAAGUGGCUGACCUGGGCUGGCACUCCCUGCCACACCCUUAUACAUGGAAGUUCCUAUUUUCUACUAUACUGAGCAGUCAAAACUGUAUAUCUGAAGUUUAGUAACUUUUCCAAACUCAUCUGCUGGAAAGUACUUCUAGUAUAUCUAAAGGGCUGUGAUUAUGUGAUUCCUUUGGUACAGCAUUAACAGUGAUGCUUCAAAGCAGCUGACCUGAGCAUGGCUCCAUGGGACAGUACACUGAAUUGAAGAGUUCUGUUUCUCCCAGGUUACCUGAUGUGUGUAUCAGUUUUUUCAUAGAAAUGAGAAUAGAAAUUAUAUUCAUCCUUUUCUCAACUACAGUCAACUGGUAGACCUUUUAUACUGAUAAACUAAUAUUUAUUAAUUUAGCAAUGAGAACAGUGCUUUAUUAUAUUGUUAAGCAUUGAAGCAUUCAUAGCAUUAUCAUUAGUCCUCAAGUUGAUGACCUUUUAGACAACACAUCACAGAAUGUCUUUGCAGUUGAUUAUUCACUAUGGUUUUAUGAUCCUAUAAUAUAGCAUUACUAAAUAAAUUUAUUGUGUUUUCUUAGAAGUUAUACA